AGUAAAACGAACUCUCAAGUUUGACAGUUGGCAGGUGUAUCCGGCUGAUUUUCAAAUUACACGCUACCAUAGAUAUAAAUCUGAUUUUCCAAUAACGCGUUGAAAUCCUAUUUUCUUUUACUUCUCAGAAUCCUCGCGAAAAUUAAAGGAGUUUCCCGACUUCUCGCGAAGAUUUUGAAAAAAAAAAAGACGCAACGAAUCGUUGAUUUUUUGGGCUUUCGCAAAUUUCGUCGAAAGAAAUCUAAAAAAUAAACAAAAUCAUGGCGACGACGCGACAACGAUGACAAGGAAGCGAGGGGUUACGGAGACGAAAUCUACGAAGAUCCGAAUCUCGGUUCUGGCUAGAAAUUCGAGGAGACUUGAUUGCUCGCAUCGUGUGCAGGGUGAGAAGCUGCAGCAACGAGGCGAACAGAUUUGAUUCAUGUACAACAUACGGAGCUAUACAUAAGCGCUUACGAAUAACUAACGUCAAAUCAAAACGCACCUAGACUCAUAGCGCAGUUGGUACACGUCUAUAGUUAUACAUAGACUGCACAACGCGGGCGACUAACGUUCGGGAUUAGCUGGAGGGCGUGAUCCUCGGUUUCGGAUUCGCAUCGAACAUCGUCGCCCAAGGUCGCGUCGGGUGACAGUGAGACAAAAAAAAAAAAAAAUGAUUCUCGGAAUUGAAAAAAUCAAUAAAAAUCACACUCGG